rnacentral:misc_RNA from 1 species
UGGCUCUGGCAUNGAUGAAGAACGCAGCGAAAUGCGAUAAGUAAUGUGAAUUGCAGAAUUCAGUGAAUCAUCGAAUCUUUGAACGCACAUUGCGCCCGCUAGUAUUCUGGCGGGCAUGCCUGUCCGAGCGUCAUUUCAACCCUCAAGCCCCUGGGCUUGGCGUUGGGGAUCAGUGAGCCUUUGCGCCCACUGUCCCCUAAAUAUAGUGGCGGUCUCGCUGUAGCUUCCUCUGCGUAGUAGCACACCUCGCACUGGGAAACAGCGCGGCCACGCCGUAAAACACCCAACUUCUGAACUUUUGACCUCGGAUCAGGUAGGAAUACCCGCUGA